CAGAUUAUAGCUUAUAUAAAGCUUUUCACUUACAUUGAUUUGAAGAUUAAGGUCUUUUCUGA
rnacentral:tRNA from 1 species